CGUGAUGACGAGGCACUACGGUGCUGAAGCAACAAAUGCCCUGCUUCCAGGAAAAGCCUCUAAGCAUCAGGUAACAUCAAAUCGUACCCCAAACCGACACAGGUGGUCAGGUAGAGAAUACCAAGGCGCUUGAGAGAACUCGGGUGAAGGAACUAGGCAAAAUGGUGCCGUAACUUCGGGAGAAGGCACGCUGAUAUGUAGGUGAAGUCCCUCGCGGAUGGAGCUGAAAUCAGUCGAAGAUACCAGCUGGCUGCAACUGUUUAUUAAAAACACAGCACUGUGCAAACACGAAAGUGGACGUAUACGGUGUGACGCCUGCCCGGUGCCGGAAGGUUAAUUGAUGGGGUUAGCGGUAACGCGAAGCUCUUGAUCGAAGCCCCGGUAAACGGCGGCCGUAACUAUAACGGUCCUAAGGUAGCGAAAUUCCUUGUCGGGUAAGUUCCGACCUGCACGAAUGGCGUAAUGAUGGCCAGGCUGUCUCCACCCGAGACUCAGUGAAAUUGAACUCGCUGUGAAGAUGCAGUGUACCCGCGGCAAGACGGAAAGACCCCGUGAACCUUUACUAUAGCUUGACACUGAACAUUGAGCCUUGAUGUGUAGGAUAGGUGGGAGGCUUUGAAGUGUGGACGCCAGUCUGCAUGGAGCCGACCUUGAAAUACCACCCUUUAAUGUUUGAUGUUCUAACGUUGGCCCCUGAUCGGGGUUGCGGACAGUGUCUGGUGGGUAGUUUGACUGGGGCGGUCUCCUCCUAAAGAGUAACGGAGGAGCACGAAGGUUGGCUAAUCCUGGUCGGACAUCAGGAGGUUAGUGCAAUGGCAUAAGCCAGCUUGACUGCGAGCGUGACGGCGCGAGCAGGUGCGAAAGCAGGUCAUAGUGAUCCGGUGGUUCUGAAUGGAAGGGCCAUCGCUCAACGGAUAAAAGGUACUCCGGGGAUAACAGGCUGAUACCGCCCAAGAGUUCAUAUCGACGGCGGUGUUUGGCACCUCGAUGUCGGCUCAUCACAUCCUGGGGCUGAAGUAGGUCCCAAGGGUAUGGCUGUUCGCCAUUUAAAGUGGUACGCGAGCUGGGUUUAGAACGUCGUGAGACAGUUCGGUCCCUAUCUGCCGUGGGCGCUGGAGAACUGAGGGGGGCUGCUCCUAGUACGAGAGGACCGGAGUGGACGCAUCACUGGUGUUCGGGUUGUCAUGCCAAUGGCACUGCCCGGUAGCUAAAUGCGGAAGAGAUAAGUGCUGAAAGCAUCUAAGCACGAAACUUGCCCCGAGAUGAGUUCUCCCUGACUCCUUGAGAGUCCUGAAGGAACGUUGAAGACGACGACGUUGAUAGGCCGGGUGUGUAAGCGCAGCGAUGCGUUGAGCUAACCGGUACUAAUGAACCGUGAGGCUUAACCUUACAACGCCGAAG
rnacentral:rRNA from 1 species